AACAAUCUUCCUGUUAAAGUAUAUUCUGGACUUGGUUGGAUUUCUGCUCUGUUGGAAGCUCACUUCUUGGAUGGAUCUUAUUUGGUAAACCCUUCACUUGCUUAUGGUCUUUGUUUAUUCCAAAAAAAGAACAGCUUAGCAAACUAUUCAAGUGUUUGUUAUGUAUAUUUGCAUUCUGGGUGCUAAUAACUCUUUUGUAUCUUCUACUUUUAAUGUAAGAUCUUCUAACUUUCUCUAGGUUAAACCUGGGUUUUAACUAGCUACAAUUUUUUCAGUAAAGAUAAGUACUUUAUAUUUUAGACAAACACAAGAAAUUUUGAUUUCUGAGCCGUAGUAGCAAGAUUGUGAGCUUGUUCAACAAGAGUUUUAGAAACCUUGAGACACUGCAUUAAAGAAACAAAAAUCUUACUUAAAUUGAAUCAUUUUUAAGUCAUUUUUUAUUAUAUAAAAUGAUUAAUUAUAGUUUUAG
rnacentral:lncRNA from 1 species